CGCGAGGUAGAGCAAAUCUCAAAAAAACAAUCUCAGUUCAGACUGCAGGCUGCAACUCGCCUGCACGAAGUCGGAAUUGCUAGUAAUCGUAGGUCAGCAUACUACGGUGAAUACGUUCCCGGGCCUUGUACACACCGCCCGUCAAACCAUGGGAGUUGGCAACACCCGAAGUCGGUAGUCUAACCGCAAGGAGGACGCCGCCGAAGGUGGGGUUGAUGAUUAGGGUUAAGUCGUAACAAGGUAUC
rnacentral:rRNA from 1 species